rnacentral:rRNA from 1 species
AACGAACGCUGGCGGCGUGCCUAACACAUGCAAGUCGAACGAUGCUUUCGGGCAUAGUGGCGCACGGGUGCGUAACGCGUGGGAAUCUGCCCCUUGGUUCGGAAUAACAGUUAGAAAUGACUGCUAAUACCGGAUGACGACGUAAGUCCAAAGAUUUAUCGCCGAGGGAUGAGCCCGCGUAGGAUUAGCUAGUUGGUGUGGUAAAGGCGCACCAAGGCGACGAUCCUUAGCUGGUCUGAGAGGAUGAUCAGCCACACUGGGACUGAGACACGGCCCAGACUCCUACGGGAGGCAGCAGUGGGGAAUAUUGGACAAUGGGCGAAAGCCUGAUCCAGCAAUGCCGCGUGAGUGAUGAAGGCCUUAGGGUUGUAAAGCUCUUUUACCCGGGAUGAUAAUGACAGUACCGGGAGAAUAAGCUCCGGCUAACUCCGUGCCAGCCGCCGCGGUAA